UACGGAGAGUGCAAACGUUGUUCGGAUUCACUGGGCGUAAAGGGCACGUAGGCGGCUCGGCAAAUCGGUCGUGGAAUCCCGACGCUUACCGUCGGAACGGCGGCCGAAAAUACCGGGCUCGAGGGCGUGAGGGGUCACUGGAACUCCUGGUGAAGCGGUGAAAUGCGUAGAUAUCAGGAGGAACGCCGGAGGCGAAAGCGAGUGACUGGCGCGUUCCUGACGCUGAGGUGCGAAAGCGUGGGGAGCAAACAGG
rnacentral:rRNA from 1 species